GACGAACCGUGCAAACGUUAUUCGGAAUCACUGGGCUUAAAGGGCGCGUAGGCGGGUUCUCAAGUCAGGGGUGAAAUCCCGCGGCUCAACCGUGGAAGUGCCUUUGAUACUGGGGACCUCGAGGGAGGUAGGGGCGUGCGGAACUUCCGGUGGAGCGGUGAAAUGCGUAGAUAUCGGAAGGAACACCGGUGGCGAAAGCGGCGCGCUGGACCUCUUCUGACGCUGAGGCGCGAAAGCCAGGGGAGCAAACGGG
rnacentral:rRNA from 1 species